UUGGUGAAUCCGGCCAGGCACGGUGAAUCCCAACUGUGGCGCCGCUCUGCCCCAACGCGGGGCCCUCAGAACGCCGCCCCGCCGCGAUGCACGACCCUUGGGGUGCCGGCUCGAUGCCCGCUGCGCUGCCGCGACCCGACGCCGUGGCCGUGAAGGGGGGAACGGGACGCUGCCCACGGCGGAGGUCUUGGAGACAACGAGGGCGGGCACGACAGCGGCUUCGGGACGAUGCUGAUGGAGUCGCUGAAUCGGCUACCUCUACUCCUGUACGAUGGCUCCCUCCGUCCGCCCCUCUCGCGGAUUCCUAACUCCCCGACCACCCCGUCACCGUCGACAGGGACAACAGGAACAAGGUGACGGUGUGCGCUGAUUCAUUGAGGAACAAUUGCUUCUAGGGGAGGACAUGCCGCUACUACCACACACCCCCGCAUAUCCAGAAUUGCUGAGUUGAAGAAUAAGGUCGAAAUGAUUCCAAUGGCUACAAGAGAUAGGAGAGGAGGUGGCAAGCAGCAUGGGUAGCUUCAUGAAGAUGAUGAGGCGACUUCACUAUUUUAGAUGCGAAGAACAUAGAGGGGCCAUGGACGUGAUGUUCAUUUGCACAGGCUGCUCCUCUCUCCCUCACCAGAGGCAUCUCCUAGGUCUCAAUUUAGAUUAAAUGAUUCAUAUUGAUAAACAUGCAUGACUACUCACAUGUGUUGCCUUCAUAGUACAUUUAUACUAUGGUUCCAACCAUAAUUUUGCAGCAUUUUGAUUUGCCAGCAGGCUAGACCAUGGGUGGAGCGCGUGCUCAAGGAGCACCUACACAUCUGAAUGAAAGAAUGCACGCACACAGUGGUGGUGGUGGUGCCAUUUAUCACAAUAGAUGACAUAUGGUUACUAUAUUUUGGAUUGUUGUUCUUUAGAUUAAUCAGCACCGUACCCUUAUCAAAAUGGUAUCCUUCAGACUUGUCGAACUUGAAGUCAUGCCAACAUGUCGUUGAUGGAGAAAACCAAGGACACCAAACUAUCACAAUGAUGAAGGUGACAUGGUUGUCUUUGCAUGGUUGCGGGUGUCAAUUUUAAUUAUGCUUUGCUGGACUUUUUCAAAAACAAGCUCCCUACAAGCACGAGUCUGUAAAGGUAUUUCCUUCUUUAGCAGCUGGAGUAUCUUCCAUUUCUGUUUCAAAGCAAGAUGAUUUAGUUUAUUCCAUCUCUCUUCCUUUGCUAAUUCGAAUUAAAUUCUUUUAUACAUGCUUGCUAAAUAUGUUUGUUUAAACAAAAUGGGUUUCCUGUCUAGAUCCUUUUAAUGGUUAACAUUAUUCAAUCGAAAUGUAAUUCAGUGAUGCAUCUUGUAACAGCACUGUAGAAGGAGCUUCAGAUGUAGGUUAGUCAAUAUUAUUAACUUUGUCAGUACAGUCAUUCUGCAUAACUUGGAAGGAUCACCUUCUUGUAAAUAACCAAAUAGUUCUAUAUAUGUCAUAUAGAUGCUAUCAAGAUUCCCAAUUUAUGCUCGCUGACUUUAUUUGCAUGAAUAGGUAAGACCGUGCCAAGCUUUAUACUCCAUUAUUGUUUAUUGACACAAUUGGCGGAUGCAUGGUUACAACAGAAUGUUAAGUCAUCGUUGUUAUUCCCUGCUGAUACCUCAGGGUUGUUUCUGUUGUCACCCGGAUCGCCUCACCAUGAAGAGGGCUCUUGGGCUUCCUACUAUUCUGGAUGCAUACUAUGCAUGGCAAAUGAUGAUCAAGGUCUGUCCACAUGCCAACGGGUACUCUCAAGGUUUGUAAGGUGGCUGAAGAACGUCAAGGUGAGGACCUGAACAUCAUGCCUUAGAUGUUGCAAGCUUGAGGAGGACAUUUGUUUUCUGUGGUUCUCUCUCUCUUUAACUGAAGGUGAAGAUGAGAGCCAAGCCUAAAGGUCACCCUUCUCUGGCUUUCAGCUCUCUAGGCUUGUCAGCUUCACAGCUCUUGAUGUAUGAAAACAAUGGCAGCUUCACAACGGAUUAUAGGCUAUUAGGCUGUUUGGAAAUAUUUAUGCGAACACUUAAAAAUCAGAAUGCAUAUACUCUUGUUUUCUGAAAAUGUGUAGGUUAGUGGAGUGAGAUAUUUUUUCUGAAUCUUUAAUUUGUCAAAUUCUUUAUUUGUGACCUCUACAUUGGUACAUCCAUAUCCAUACUAGGUCAAGACACAGACCUAUUUUUCACAAUAUAGUAUGAUGAAAGUACAUCGUUUUAAACA